UUUAGUUAAAAGAAAAAAGAAAAAAAAGAAAGGGGUUAACCCUUGUUUCACGUGAAUGAGGGAUUAGAAUCCCUAGCCUGGAAGAAUGGGGAUAAAUUCCCAAAUCUCCUCUUCUUCUCCACCUUCACUGGCAGCGGCGGCGAUAAGGAGCAUCGUUCGUGGCUAGAACGAAGCGGGUCUGAUUCGCGAUGGUGGUAAAUGAGGGCACGACGGUGACUGACUUUCGUCCUCCAGCGGCGAUGAACAACAAUCACGGCCAAAGGUGGUUCACGGUGAGAUGCGGUGGUUCAAGGUGACUCUCGGUGGUGACAGAGGCUCGUGAGGUUGGGUUGAAGAGAUGGUACCGAGGAGGGUGUUGUGUUGGGAGAAGAAGAGCAUUCGUGAUUCGGAACCGGCAGAGGCAACAAUUCGGUGAGGAAUUUUAUCCCUCUUCUAUUUAACUUUAUAUUAUGGAGUUUGAAUGAUGAAAGACUGGUUUGAGAGAACAAGGAUCAUACAAAACGAAUUAUGCUACCUUAAGGUUUUCGCAUUGCAUCAUCAAUUUCAUUCUUAAUUAAUUUUUUUUACUUAAGUAGAUACAUUAUGCUGAGACCAGUGGGUAUGCUUGAUUAAAGAUAGAAGGUAUUGGCACCCCGUCCGCCCGUAUUAAAACGGUACACUCGCUAAUAACAUGGACUUUUAUACCCUUAACAAAUAUUUAUUUAGAAAUUAAUUAUCAUAACAAAAUAUUUUUAUUUUUUCUGACUUUCGUCCUCCAGCGGCGAUGAACAACAAUCACGGCCAAAGGUGGUUCACGGUGAGAUGCGGUGGUUCAAGGUGACUCUCGGUGGUGACAGAGGCUCGUGAGGUUGGGUUGAAGAGAUGGUACCGAGGAGGGUGUUGUGUUGGGAGAAGAAGAGCAUUCGUGAUUCGGAACCGGCAGAGGCAACAAUUCGGUGAGGAAUUUUAUCCCUCUUCUAUUUAACUUUAUAUUACGGAGUUUGAAUGAUGAAAGACUGGUUUGAGAGAACAAGGAUCACACAAAACGAAUUAUGAUACCUUAAGGUUUUCGCAUUGCAUCAUCAAUUUCAUUCUUAAUUAAUUUUUUUUACUUAAGUAGAUACAUUAUGCUGAGACCAGUGGGUAUGCUUGAUUAAAGAUAAUGAUGAAUUAAGCAUCCAAGCCUAGCACGUAUAUCAUAUAAAGCAAGGUAUGUUCACAAAAUAAUUUUUAUGGUUGGAAUGCUUACCUGGCUGUAUGCUUUGUGUUGCUAUAUGUGUCACUGCAUUCUUGACUUAUAACUCUAUCCCUGGGUUGCUUUUGCCUGAAUGUAUGUAUGGUGAUUACUUUCUGGUUAUGGUCGUAUGAACUGGUAUGAUAAGUGAACUUUCUUCGUGCGUUACUCCUUUUUUACUAACUCUCUUCUCUGUUUUUUUCAUUGAGUGCCCUCUGGAAUGCUCUCUGCGUUUACUGUAUGUGUGAUAUGCUUGUGUAUUCUUAUGUGUUUUCUGAGUAUACCUAUACUUUCCGAACUUUUUUUUUGUAUCUGUGUAGCAAUGGUGACUCCCUAUUUAUAGCUGAGUAAGGGUUAAUACAAAACCUUUCUGAAUUACUAACUGAAACCAGAAAUUCCAUGCCUUUUGCUCUCUGACUUUAAUAUGAUAAAUUGCCUAUGAAUGCUACUAAUGAUUGCUUGAUCUGUAACUGAUAUGGCAAUAACACUGCCAUUCAUCUUUUUCAUAUCACUUUAUUAGAAAUCAUGCUGAUUCAUGGCUGACUUUAAUUUUAUGCCUGCUGAAAUCCAUGUCGUGGCUGAUUUCUAAAUGCAUAACUUAUCCUUGAUUGUUAUUUAUUCAGUAACUGUCCAAGAAUGUGUGCAUGAUUAUCAUGGAUUUAGCAUCUUUUUAGCUUCCCAUUGCUGAUGUUUCUUGCUGGUUGCAUUCCCCUUAACAUUCCUAAUUAUAAGUUUUUACUGCUUGUGAAUAACUGUCACUUAUAAUGAAAUCAUGGCAUUGAUGUUUCAGGCAGGUUUAUAUUUUCAUUUUCCUAAAUCUGUGGCAUCUUUUGGCAAUGCAGCAACUUGAUAUGUUGCACGAGCAAUGGCAGGUGAAGGGAAGUUUAGGGAAGUUUGUAGCAUAAGUCUCUUUGACUAUCCUAAAAUCCUUCAAGUCAGCCA
rnacentral:lncRNA from 1 species